rnacentral:rRNA from 1 species
CCUGGUGAAAUUAGCGCUGUGGAACCACCCGAUCCCAUCCCGAACUCGGAAGUGAAACGCAGCUGCGCCGAUGGUAGUGUGGCUCAAGCCAUGCGAG